UACAGAGGGGGCAAGCGUUGUUCGGAAUUACUGGGCGUAAAGGGCGCGUAGGCGGCCUUCUAAGUCGAACGUGAAAUCCCCGGGCUCAACCCGGGAACUGCGUCCGAGACUGAAAGGCUUGAAUCCGGGAGAGGGAUGUGGAAUUCCAGGUGUAGCGGUGAAAUGCGUAGAUAUCUGGAGGAAUAUCGGUGGCGAAGGCGGCAUCCUGGACCGGUAUUGACGCUGAGGCGCGAAAGCCAGGGGAGCAAACGGG
rnacentral:rRNA from 1 species